AAGAGAAUAAAAAAAAUGAAUGCGGACCCAGCACUUCUGAAAAUGCACUUCCGAAUGCGUCUCUGUCCCGAGCACAAUUCAAACCAAACUGACGCCUCUGGGCACGUCUGUGUU